UCUUCUCCUAAUUAGUAUUCUUCUUUCUUCUCAGUCAACUGUUUUUGCAGCAAAAUGUCACUACAAAGGCCCUUGUACAACUAAAGAAGACUGCAGAAGCAUAUGCACAGGUCCGGGAGAAGACCCAACUUUUCUAUUAUGCUUAUUUAACCCUCCAGUUGCUAACAAAUGUUGUUGUAAAUGGACAAGAGAAAUAUAGUCUUGUUUAAGAAUGAUAUAAUCAAUAUUUUUGUAGCAGCAUCACCGAUCAUAAAAUUUAAAAAUUAAUAAAAACAGUGUUUUGAUCA